rnacentral:rRNA from 1 species
UGGGGAAUAUUGCACAAUGGGGGAAACCCUGAUGCAGCAACGCCGCGUGAAGGAUGAAGGUUUUCGGAUUGUAAACUUCUUUAGUCAGGGACGAAAAAAAUGACGGUACCUGAAGAAUAAGCCACGGCUAACUACGUGCCAGCAGCCGCGGUAAUACGUAGGUGGCGAGCGUUGUCCGGAAUUACUGGGUGUAAAGGGCGUGUAGGCGGGAAUGUAAGUCAGAUGUGAAAUCCCAGGGCUUAACCCUGGAGCUGCAUCUGAAACUAUGUUUCUUGAGUGCCGGAGAGGAAAGCGGAAUUCCUAGUGUAGCGGUGAAAUGCGUAGAUAUUAGGAGGAACACCAGUGGCGAAGGCGGCUUUCUGGACGGUAACUGACGCUGAGGCGCGAAAGCGUGGGGAGCAAACA